UUCUGUCUCCAGGUUAGCUGGCUUAUGAAGCUGGCAAGGCACAACAAUAAUGGAAUUACUAACACAUUUGUGAAGUCUUUUCAUUAACUUUUUUGUAAGAUGCUUAAAACCACAUCAACACUGAUUUGGGUCACUACAUAAAGUUCAGGUUACAAAGAAAAUCAAAACAUAUUUUGAAUAAUUGUUACAGGAUUUCUUCAUAGGUAUUUUGAAAAAAAAUCAGUAGGAUAAUGAGAUUUGACUCCUUUCAAAAAGAGAAACUUUGUGUUGUUUUCACAAAAAUGUGCUGUUGUUAAAGAGUUCACUUCAGUAGAAUAAUCCAAAAAUAGUGCAGUGUUGUGUCAAGGCUCAUUAUUCAGUCACAAAGGCAAAGGAUGACCAGAAACACAGGGUUCCAAAGCCAGUGCAUAGGGGAAGCCUGGAGAAAUGUUUAGUCCUUCCAGAUCCAAUGGAGAGGAUGUGAAGCUGUUUUACUAAGAUCGUGAUUUGUACGUCUGUUUUACUCAAGCUGGUUUCCUGCAUUGAUUGAUACACGAAGAGAUUCCCCAUGAUUUCUUCAUAAAUAUAAUGGUUCCAUGGUUGAUUGGGAAUUCUCCAGAGUUGUAAUCCAACACUCAAACCACUACACUAUACUAUCUGAUUCAUAUGCCAUUACAAAUAAUGGAGAAAUUGGAAAUGGAACUGAAUAAAGAAGAUUUAGCAUAUGUUAUUGAACUGAAAAAAGGUGAGGAUCAAGGGAAACAAAUGUAGAGUAAAAUGUUUUCGAGUUUGUCAAAUAUAUGGCACAUAUUUAGUUCAGCACAUUCAUUAGUUUCCUUUGUGUGCAUGAACCUUAAUUGAUAUUAGGUACCUGGAAUGUUUAGUAAAAUUGAUCACAAACAUUUUGCCAAAUGUGAUACCACUAUAGUAAAUUCAGCACAGAGAUUUCACAUAACUCCCACAUACUCCAAAUGUGAAGUCUGCUUUUUUAUUUUGAUCAUGGUUUUUAGAUUAAGCACAAUUCAUUACUGAAUGCGAUGCUGGUAUUGAAAGUCUUAACUGCCAACUGUGUCAACUGAGUACCAAAUAAGACAUAACAUGCUGAUGAGUGUAAUUUUCUCCCAUUGUCUUUUUAUCCCACUCCCUCCAGCAGCUUUUGAAUGGUCAACAAGAAAGAAAGAAGCAAGGUAGUGCUGCUUAACCCAUUUCACCAAUCCAUUUUUAAGGGAAGUGGUUUCAAGGGAUUGAUCUGCAACCAAAAAAUGAAUGGCAGUGAAGAGGUUGCUCCACUGUCAUCUUCCAAAUGCCUUCUGUGUAAAAUCAAACAUAAAAAAACCCAGAUACUGUAGACAACAUACACAUCUGAAUGAAAUGUC